rnacentral:lncRNA from 1 species
CAACAAUAGAAUGUAGCUUCUAGGUUCUAAUAGAAUUAUCAUUUAUGAUUACUUGUUACUAUAAGUUUGAAUAAUAUAUGAUGUAUAACAUAUAUAGAAAAAAUAUUGAGUAUUUUAAUAUUAAUAAAUGAUGAAUGUAUAAUAUUUAUUUAUAGUCUAAAGAGCAGUUUAUAAACGUUAACAAAAAUGUGUUAUCUAUACGUAUAAUAUAUCUUUCAUCUUAUUUCUCCUGAACUAAAUUUCGCAUAUCUAUAAAUUGAGUCUCUUAACGAGAUCUGCUUGAAAAAUUAAAAAAAAAUUAACGAACAAAAAAUAAAAAUUAUAAAAAUAAACAAAAUUAAAAGAUCAUGGCAUAAUGGGCAAAAUAGAAGCACCGAGUGCUAAUAAUGGUUUGGUAACGUUGGCAACUGUUCCAACGUUACCAACUGGCGAAAAAAUUUUCUCUGUUAAUCGUAUGCCAUACAUCAUAUUAAAACUCUUAAUUGAGAUCUCUAACUUAAUCAAACCCAAAACACCUCUUAAUAUAUUAACCGCCCCAAUCGUGAAUAUGGAAUCCUACUCGACUCUUCGCUAAAUAUCAUAGAGAUAUGCUAAAUAUCCACUGUAUUUGAUAACGAAAUACUUGAAAAAUAACUAACAGGAUAAGUAUAUGAAGUGCAUCCCUAUUAAAACAUCUAUCUUCAUUUAUUUUUAAUACUUUCAGAAAUUUAAAACAAUAAUAAAAUAAAUUAUUAUUUAUUAAAAUUUAAAUUUUAGCAAUAUAAUAUAAUCAAC